rnacentral:rRNA from 1 species
UGGGGAAUUUUCCGCAAUGGGCGAAAGCCUGACGGAGCGACGCCGCGUGGAGGAUGACGGUCUUCGGAUUGUAAACUCCUGUCAAGGGGGACGAUAAUGACGGUACCCCUGGAGGAAGCAUCGGCUAACUACGUGCCAGCAGCCGCGGUAAGACGUAGGAUGCGAGCGUUGUUCGGAUUUAUUGGGCGUAAAGCGUGCGUAGGCGGCUAUUUAAGUCUGGUGUUAAAGCUAGGGGCUCAACCCCUGUGAUGCACUGGAAACUGGGUAGCUUGAGUGUGGUAGGGGAAGGUGGAAUUCCUAGUGUAGCGGUGAAAUGCGUAGAUAUUAGGAAGAACACCGGUGGCGAAGGCGACCUUCUGGGCCACUACUGACGCUGAGGCACGAAAGCGUGGGGAGCAAACAGGAUUAGAUACCCCCGUAGUCC